ACUGUGAUGGUCUUCGAAUCUCGACCCCCAAGUAGCCAGUGAGCAAAUGAGGCUCAGAGGAGAGACUGCCUAAGGUCGUGGGCUGCAGGUCGAGGCCUGGCUGUGCAGCUGUUCGCAUGCUCAGGUCCCAAACUUUUAUCACGUAUUUUAAAGAAGGUGACAUUCCCAGCAGCCUGGAGCCCCCUGGGGAGCAGACUUGACUCAUGUGGGCCUCCCAGCCUGCCCAGCGCCUGGUGCGGGCGGGUGCCUUCUAUGUAUUCAUUGGACAAACAAGCAACUGAGCAAUGGGAAAGAUGGGGUGUCCCAUCUCCCCAAGUUCCCACCUGAUCACAAUGAUGUCCCAGCUUCGUUUGGCUUUGGAGCCCUGCAAAGUUUCUCCAGGACUCUGAGAUUUCCCUGGGGUCCUGGCUGGACGCUUGAAGCUCUGGCCUGCUCUUUUCUGUCCUUCUCAUUGUCCAGUCCUCAGUCUCCCAGCCCCAUAGUGUGGGGCAGGGAGAACCCAGGCCUGGGGUGAAGCUCCUGCCCUCCAUCAGAAGGGUGUGGCUCGGGGCUUUGCCUCCCAUCUGAGUCACCUCCAAGGUGUGGCAGGCUGACUCAGACCGGAGGUCCUCCAGCUUCCCAGGGGCCUGAGCCUGCCAGGGCAGGGCUGGUGGGGCGGGGGGAGGGGGUCGGCCCCACACCAGGAAGGUGUUAAAACCUCUCAGGGAGGCCUGUGGCUGUGGUCUAUCUGUGGUCUCCCUGGUUUCUGCACGGGAACACUGAGCCUAGAAGCAGCAGCUGGAUGUGGCAGGGGUGGCACACUGUCCCUGUCUGUUCACUUCCCCUCCUGAACUGCAGGUUCUGCAGGUUCCCCUACAGCAAGGGGCUGCCCGCCAUCAUGCCUCCUGGAGUGGCCCAGAGCUGGUGCUGCCACGGACUGCUGGACAGGGUCUCAUUCAGUCUCCACAAAGACCCCGCAGAGCCCCACUCUGCAGGAAUCCUGGCACCUGGCAGAAGGGGGCUUGAGAAUUUAAAGGUGGGAUGCACAGUUUGUGCACGCUGGGUCAUGUGUGCAGUGGGUCUCAGAGCCCUGUGCCGAGAGCGGUUCUUCCUGGAGCUCGCUGGGGGAUGAGCUGGACACGGGUCACGGGAGACUCCUAACGACAGCCAGGAUUUGAAAUCCCACCUGUGCAGCCGGAACUCACUCCGGAAGACCCCGACCCUGACUCACCCUCCCUGCGGGUGGCUGAUGUGGGUGUGAUUCUCACCUGAAGAACCAAAGUCGGCUUCCCAGCUGCCCCAACCCUGAGGGAUGAGGGAAAGGGACCACCUCUGGGUGUGUGUCAAACAAGAAGCCUGUCCUCAAGGCCCCAGUGCCCCUGCUUCGAGCUGGCAAGAGGCAACUGACCCAGGAGGAGGAGCCAGAGGACAGCUGGAGACCUGCGUUCCGAGGGCUGCGUGUGGCCCUGGGAUGUGGCCUCUGUCCCAGCCCUGCAUCGAGGGUCCAGCCACGGGGACUGGAGGACAGAGGGGCUGGGUGGGGACUGGCGUAGGGGCACUGGACAAGCCAUGACGAAGCAGAGAAGCAAUGAGUAAAGGCAACAAUAACAAAACAGUACACACUGUGCUGCGCACAGGGAGCCUGUCUCAGAUUACCUCAUUUAACCGUCACAGGGGUCGCUUUUGUAGGCAACCACCGAAGACCACAAGAUCUCAAGUCCAGCGGCCAGGGAUCACUCAGAACUCUUUCCCUCCUCUCCCACAAGGCAUCAUCACGAGAGUCCCCAUCCCAGAGGGUAGAUGGGCCAUGUCUGGGAUCAUCUGGAACAUCUGUGGCAGAAAGGACGGGCUCAAAUCAUGUGAUCACUAGUGAUGCAGAGGUGGAGCUCAAGGAGGUACUUGCCCAAGGCUGCACCGCAGCUGAGUGAUGGAGCUCGAAUGUAACUUUAGAUCUGAGUGGGCUAAAGCCCCACCGCUCCCCUAACACACCUGUGGCAGCCUCACAGGUGUCCCUCUGGUCCUUUGGAAGGGCUGUUUAAAACCGCAGUUGCCUGAAGGGUUUGGGUCCUCUAGAGGAACUGGCCGGAAGUCACACACGCAGCCUUGUCCUGGCCAGGCCGGGCGCCCUCAGCAAGCAGCCUCUCAUGCCAGGUCCUCCCUUUCCCCUGCAGCAGGUGCAGCCCCUUCCCGGCCUCCCGUCUGGCCCACACCCCUCACAGGGCACAGGAAAUGAUGGCCAAGCUCCACUCCAAACCACAGGGGAAAUUUUUUUGUCUGGGCUUGUCUAGAAUCCAGCCGGGGCCCCUGGGCAGACAUUCUGUCAUUUGCAAAAGGCAGGGGUGGGAAGCGGGUGAGGAGGGGGCAUGUGGUUCCUGCACUGUCUGGCCUUGGGAUUCCCCUCAGCGGCCUGGAGCUUCGGUGGUACGGACAGACUCCCAGACCUGCCUACACGAACAGUCCUGGGGCUUCGGGCAAGCCAGACCCAAUCACAGCCAUGUGCUGGCUGGGGGAUGGCAGGCUGGCACCACCCACGCUUGCUGUGUGACCCUGGACAGGUACCUUGUCCUCUCUGAUCUCCACUCCCCACUGUGUCAGCAUCAUCUCAACUUCUACCUGGACUUGCAGGGAGGUUUCUGCCCCUGCAGAACUUAACUUUCUGAUCCCAGCACCAAAAGAAAAAUAAGCAAAU